rnacentral:misc_RNA from 1 species
GAAAUGCGAUAAGUAAUGUGAAUUGCAGAAUUCAGUGAAUCAUCGAAUCUUUGAACGCACCUUGCGCUCCUUGGUAUUCCUUGGAGCAUGCCUGUUUGAGUAUCAUGAAAUCUUCAAAGUAAAUCUUUUGUUAACUCAAUUGGUUUCUACUUUGGUAUUGGAGGUCUUUGCAGCUUCACACCUGCUCCUCUUUGUUCAUUAGCUGGAUCUCAGUGUUAUGCUUGGUUCCACUCGGCGUGAUAAGUUAUCUAUCGCUGAGGACACUGUAAAAGGUGGCCAAGGUAAAUGCAGAUGAGCCGCUUCUAAUAGUCCAUGGACUUGGACAAUACUUUUAUGAUCUGAUCUCAAAUCAGGUAGGACUACCCGCUGAACUUAAGC